rnacentral:misc_RNA from 1 species
AAAGUCGUAACAAGGUUUCCGUAGGUGAACCUGCGGAAGGAUCAUUAUUGAAUUCACUUGUCGAGUUGCUGCUGGUUCCGCAAGGUUCAUGUGCACGCUUGGCUCUUGAUAUUUUCCACCUGUGCACUUUUGUAGGCAGUCUUUUGUCUUGGUCGUCGUCUGUAGUCACAUUCAGUUGUGGAUUGGGGUUUGAGCGCAAGCUUCUCUCCCUGGGACGUUCAGCUGAGGCAUCGGGCUGUUCUACGUUUUUUACACACUUUUGUAUGUCUAGAAAGUCAUUUACUGGUCGGAAGGCCUUUAAACUUAACACAAUUAUUGACAACGGAUCUCUUGGCUCAC